AUGUAAGUUUAGUAGGUCAAUCUAUGAAUAUUGAAAGUUUAAAAACUAAAUUGAAACAUGUGGAAAAGUUUAGUAGGUGAAAGUGUGAAUAUGGAAAGUUUAAAAGUAAAAUUCCAAGUUUGCCCUCCACCUUUUUCUAUAUUUACACCUAACCCACCAUAUGACACCUAGCCAUGCAUGACUAAGCAUGAAAGAAAAGAGUUGUCAUUCAUUUGGUCCAUCAUUGCCGUGGCUACACCAAAAGGAAAGAGAAAAAGCUUUUGCUUUCUUAUCUUCCAUUUCCACCAUAGUUCAUCAAAAAGAUAAAAUCUCCAGCCACACAAAAUCUGUUCUUAAGUGUAAUAACCAGCAAGGAAACCAUAGAAAGGGAGGAAAGAAGGAGAGAAGUUAAGGUGCUUUAGUGAACAAACUCAAAGGGAGGAAGGUACAUCAAAGGGGAAAGGCAAGGAAAGAGAGUAACUAAGGUGUACCUAAAGCUUUUGAAAAGAUUGUGCAAAAGGUAAUAGAUAGAGGAAGCAACAGUUAGGAGGUCUGGUUCUGCAUCAGCACAGAGACAUCAUCAUAACCAGUCAGUCACAAGAUUUGUACAGAGGUUGUUUAUGGUUGGCAUGUACAUUAAUAGUCUACCAAGAGUCUGUAAAUGAGUAUUGUAAAUAGUAUGAAUAUAAACAAAUGUGUUUACUAUUGUACGUUAUUAUGUUCUAUUUGUGGUUUUAAUAGUGUGAAAUGAGUAAAUAUUGAAAUUUUAUGACUAGUUUUCACAGGGAUAAUUGCUAAUAAACAGGGGAGACUUUUGCGGUUUCUCCAUUUAAAAUUAUUUUGUGAAUCAACAUGCAUUUAAACAAACUAAAGAACAAUUUAUAAGGUCAAAGCUAUCUUAAGUCCACAUAUGUAAUUGCAUAUAGUAUAGUAUGUGGCAUC